UACGUAGGUGGCAAGCGUUGUCCGGAUUUACUGGGUGUAAAGGGCGUGCAGCCGGGCUGACAAGUCAGAUGUGAAAUCCCGCGGCUCAACCGCGGAACUGCAUUUGAAACUGGCGUGCUCGAGUUGGAGAGAAGUAUGCGGAAUUCGUGGUGUAGCGGUGAAAUGCAUAGAUAUCACGAAGAACCCCGAUUGCGAAGGCAGCAUACCGGCUCCACACUGACGCUGAGGCACGAAAGCGUGGGUAUCGAACAGG
rnacentral:rRNA from 1 species